UACAGAGGUCUCGAGCGUUGUUCGGAUUCAUUGGGCGUAAAGGGUGCGUAGGUGGCGUGGUAAGUCUGGUGUGAAAUCCCGGGGCUCAACCCCGGAACUGCACUGGAUACUGCCAUGCUUGAGUACUGGAGAGGAGAUUGGAAUUUACGGUGUAGCAGUGAAAUGCGUAGAUAUCGUAAGGAACACCAGUAGCGAAAGGCGGCACUCUGGGCCGGAACUGACGCUGAGGAGCGAAAGCGUGGGGAGCGAACAGG
rnacentral:rRNA from 1 species